UUAUUGUCCUGGGCAUGGAACAGCCUUUGGCAAUGAAGAGUUUUCACAACAUCUUUGAUCAUCUCACCAGGUGGCAGCCAAAAGCACCUAUCAACACAGAGUAGUGUUCCAUGGUCAUGCUAUGCAUCUUGUGACACAUCUCUGUUCAUGACCUGAGCGGAUGUAAUGAAUCAUGUGAGCCAACUGUCUGCACCACAUCCUGGAAGAUGUGGGCCUGAAGGAGCGCUCCAAUCAUAGAGGAGAGCAGGAAGAAGGCAGGUAGAUCCAGCCUUGCGAGACGUAGUCCGAUGAGGAAGAAAAAGCAGUGCAUUUCAGGCAGCAGAUUCAAGCUUCAUACCUCAGUGCCAGACAGGUUUUUGCAUCGUUUGUGAUAGAUGCAGCUAAGAAGCAAGAAGCACUGGUCAGAAGACCUGCAGUACGUACUUCAGAUUUGCCGCCUGAUGUGAUUUCUGGCUGUAUAUAG
rnacentral:lncRNA from 1 species